rnacentral:rRNA from 1 species
GAUCUCAAAUCAGGUAGGACUACCCGCUGAACUU